GACUAGCCGUUGGACUCCUUGAGGGUUUAGUGGCGCAGCUAACGCGAUAAGUCGACCGCCUGGGGAGUACGGCCGCAAGGUUAAAACUCAAAUGAAUUGACGGGGGCCCGCACAAGCGGUGGAGCAUGUGGUUUAAUUCGAUGCAACGCGAAGAACCUUACCUGGCCUUGACAUCCAGAGAAUCCUACAGAGAUGUGGGAGUGCCUUCGGGAAUUCUGAGACAGGUGCUGCAUGGCUGUCGUCAGCUCGUGUCGUGAGAUGUUGGGUUAAGUCCCGCAACGAGCGCAACCCUUGUGUCUAGUUGCCAGCACGUAAAGGUGGGAACUCUAGACAGACUGCUUGGUGACAAACCAGAGGAAGGCGGGGACGACGUCAAGUCAUCAUGGCCCUUACGGCCAGGGCUACACACGUGCUACAAUGGUCGGUACAGAGGGUUGCGAACCUGCGAAGGCGAGCCAAUCUCUAAAAGCCGAUCUUAGUCCGGAUUGCAGUCUGCAACUCGACUGCAUGAAGUCGGAAUCGCUAGUAAUCGCGGAUCAGAAUGCCGCGGUGAAUACGUUCCCGGGCCUUGUACACACCGCCCGUCACACCAUGGGAGUUUACUGCACCAGAAGUAGUUAGCCUAACCGCAAGGAGGGCGAU
rnacentral:rRNA from 1 species